CUUUGUCAAGUGCUCUACUAUUGAAAGGGACUCUGUGAGUGGCCAGUGUCUGUGGGCCCCGGUGUGUCUUCAUGGACAUCUGAGCACUUUUUAGAAGUCUAACACGGCCAGGCCAAUGUUGGCAGGUCUGCUGUGGAAGGAACCAGCUCUGUAUGGAAAGACGAGAGAAGCUCCAUCUGUGCUCUGGGCCAACCGUUUAUGCUGCUGAGGGAAGGAAACCCAGGAGGGACGCUUCUGGAACACCCACUGCAGAAAACAACAGAAUGAAAACAAACAGAGAAGGGGAACUCCCCUCCCUCCCCGCAGUCUCUGCCAGAAAUAAAAGGAAGGGCUCCCGCUGACGGCGACCUGUGCUACCUCACGCUGGGACAGAGGCGGUGACCCAGCGCCCACACCCAACCCGGGGGCUGCGAUGUCCCUGCCUGCAGAGUCCGGCCUUGAGAGGGACGCAGACUCACGAAGGCAGCUUUGCAAGUCCAGGGCCCAGGAGGAAACGGAAAUAUACAAGUCCAAGAUCUGAAACCAACCGCUUUGCAAAUAAUCCCCAGUUAUCACCCAGGGCGCCCAGGCCCCACCUCGUUUCUCACGCCUGAACUACCCACACUUAAUGAAGUGAGGAAAGGGGAAUCACCUCCCGAUCUACCUGUCCUGGACUUGCCUAUGUGUUACCUUGGUGACCUUGCCAACAAAGUCUAGAAUAGCCACCGAGGCGGGGGUGGGGUGGGGAUGUGGGGCGCGGCUCCUGGUAAUGUAAGAUACCCCCCACCUUACCCAGAUCUCUUCUACUUGGGUCUUUUCGUCCCAGGGAGCUUGUGAUAAUUGGUCGUCUAAGGCAACCAAAAGAUCCCUGCCCCUCUGGACACAGGGCUGAGGCCCCAAAGGCCAACAGUGUCACCAUUACUAACCCCACAGUGACAGUGUUCCCACCCUACAGGUCCAUGUGGGUCAGCCUGUGCUUUAAGGCCAUCUGCACACGUCGAAAGCUUUAGUUCAGUUAAAGAAUUUGUCUGUGGUCUGGGUUCACAGUGAGUCGGGAGCUGGGAGAACAGUUAUUCUCCACUGAGGCUAAUUCGUCUCAGAAAACACUUAAGGGAAUCCCGCAUUAUGCACUUGGGCCUGCACCUGCUCCUUUGGGAAGUGUGGGGUGUCUCCCAGGGCCUGAGAGAACUGGGGGUACCGAGAGGCAUCUAAAGGGGAACUCCUGGGAGGCUGGACCAGGGAGAGGCGCGGAUGUGAUGUUGCUAUGGUUGAACAGUUCAUUGCUCUUCCCUCCGGCUCCCCACGCAAGGACUGGCUUGUUCUUAUCCCAGGUCCUGCACUCAGUGUUGCUGGAUUGAUGUCAGCUGAAUGAAUGUCGCUGCCUGAGCUUUAAGGGCAGCUGAGAGGUCAAGAGGGGUUUAGAGGGUUUGCUCUCUAAAGACCAGGCCAGAGCAGAGCUGAGGCUGGAUCCUCUGAACUCACCCCCACCCCCCACACAAUCUCUUCCUCGGCAUCCCUGUGGUCUGACCCCACUGUUACCAGUUCUCAUUUAAAAUAGCCAAGGGUCACCUUCCUUUGUGACCUCUGAACCAAAGCAUGGGCCAGACGGCCCUGCCCUCCCUCCAAAGGUUUUUGCUGACAUCCCAUGGCUUAGUGGAUAAAAUUCUGGUUCCUUGGCCCAGGGGCUGAAGGGUAUAACUGUUACUUUCUUGUAUCUCAACCCCUGUCCUGCAUCUGGAUUGAGCAUGGUGGGUAGAGGGCAAAUGUGUUGGGAGAGUUACCUCGCAUGUCGCUGCGUUCCCAAAGGCCCAGGUUUUUUUGGUUUUUGGGUUUUUGUUUUUUUGGUUUUUCCA